CAACAACAACAAAUCGCACCAGCCAAGAAGAUCAAGAAAUCCACAAAGGGCAGAAAGCAACAACAACAACAAAUCGCACCAGCCAAGAAUAUCAAGAAAUCCACAAAGGGCAGAAAGCAACAACAACAAAUCGCACCAGCCAAGAAGGUCAAGGCUCUCGCAUCAGCCAAGAAGGCAAAGGCUACCAUCAACCAACAGCAACUCCCACCAGAUAUGAUCAGUGAUUUGCCCGAUUGUAUUCUGAUUCAUAUAAUGUCUUUUUUGCAUGCAAAAGAGGCUGUUCAAACGUGUAUUUUGUCUAAAAGAUGGAUCAAUGUUUG